rnacentral:rRNA from 1 species
GACAGAGGGGGCAAGCGUUGCUCGGAAUUACUGGGCGUAAAGGGCGCGUAGGCGGAAUGGCAAGUCGGUCGUGAAAUCCUUCGGCUCAACCGAAGAACGUCGAUCGAAACUGCCGUUCUUGAGGAUUGCAGAGGAGACUGGAAUUCCCGGUGUAGCGGUGAAAUGUGUAGAGAUCGGGAGGAACGACCGGUGGCGAAGGCGGGUCUCUGGCAAUUCCUGACGCUGAGGCGGCGAAAGCUAGGGAGCAAACGGG